rnacentral:rRNA from 1 species
CAGCAGCCGCCGCGGGAAUACGGAGGAUCCAAGCGUUAUCCGGAAUCAUUGGGUUUAAAGGGUCCGUAGGCGGUCUUGUAAGUCAGUGGUGAAAGCCCAUCGCUCAACGGUGGAACGGCCAUUGAUACUGCAGGACUUGAAUUAUUGGGAAGUAACUAGAAUAUGUAGUGUAGCGGUGAAAUGCUUAGAGAUUACAUGGAAUACCAAUUGCGAAGGCAGGUUACUACCAAUUGAUUGACGCUGAUGGACGAAAGCGUGGGUAGCGAACAGGAUUAGAUACCCCAGUAGUCCCUGUCUCUUAUAC